rnacentral:ncRNA from 1 species
AGUUUAGCUAUGAUGGAGAGAAGUAAUUAAAUAACCUAUAAAGAGAGUGAAGUCCAUGGGCUGAGAGACUUUACUAGGCAAUGUUUAUUGAAGGUAGCUCCUGAGCUUUCAAGCUGAAAUAAUAGUAGGCUUGAACGGUAAAUCCGUUAUCUGUUUGAGAGCUAGAUAUAUUUAUUAUAUCUAGAAUUAAGGUGGUAUCGCGAGUAGACCCUUCGUCCUUAUA